GUACGCUGGCGGCACGCCUAACACAUGCAAGUCGAACGCAGUAGCAAUACUGAGUGGCAAACGGGUGAGUAUAAUGUGGGAAUCUGCCUUUUGGUUUGGAAUAACACGGGGAAACUUGUGCUAAUACCGGAUAAGCCCUUACGGGGAAAGUUUUAACGCCGAAAGAUGAGCCCGCACUUGAUUAGCUAGUUGGUAAGGUAAAAGCUUACCAAGGCAACGAUCAAUAGCUGUUCUUAGAGGAAGACCAGCCACAUUGGGACUGAGACACGGCCCAGACUCCUACGGGAGGCAGCAGUGGGGAAUCUUGCACAAUGGGGGAAACCCUGAUGCAGCGAUGCCGCGUGAGUGAAGAAGGCCCUUGGGUUGUAAAACUCUUUCGUCGGGGAAGAAAAUGACUGUACCCGAAUAAGAAGGU
rnacentral:rRNA from 1 species